ensembl:lncRNA LRRC77P leucine rich repeat containing 77, pseudogene
GUUGUUGUUUAUGUAAGAAUUUCAAGGCCACAACUCCAUAUUUGAAGUAAAGUGCUCAUAAAAUUAAUUGCAAGACUUCUGAAGAGAGAUUUGCUAGGAAAAAUAAAAAGAUAUAUAAAUUUCAGUGAUGCUGAAGGUUUUGAGAAGCCAUCUGCAGCUCACAACUAGAUGAGUGACACAAUCAGAUGUGCGUAUGCAAAAAAAAGCCUGGAGACAUUGAACUAAGAUCAAAUUUAAUGUAUUAAAUAUGGUAGAAAGAAGAGAGAAUGAAAAAUAAUGUUAACAAUCUAGGUGAGGAAUUGCUGAGGAGACAAAUUAAGUAAAUCCUGUGGAAGGAAAGAAGAAAGGAGGAAAGAGGAUUGGAUGGAAGAAUCUCCACUUCUCAUAGGUGUAGUCCUUCCUUAGCCUGCUUUUUAAUGAGUGCUGCUAAAGCCCUUAGCCUGCCUGUUUACCCUUGGAGUGGAGCAAUGAACUGAAGAUAUUUGAGUGAGUUCAAGAGAGACUCAGAAGAGAAGAAUUGGAGGCAGCAAACAUAGACAGCACUUUUAAUGCUUUUCUCAUAUGCUGUAAGACAUGAAAGCAAUCUAUUGGGAUGAAAGCUGAAAGGAGAAGCGGGACAAGAGAAGUGAAUCCGUGGAAGACCCCCAAAAGAGGCUGCAGAUUCUUAGUGGACAGCUCUCAUAUCCCCUCCAGGGAAAAUGAUGAAAAAUGUCUUCAGAAAAAUAGCUUUAUGAAGGCAAGAGGACUUUUUGCACCUGCAAGACAUGUCUGAAAGCUCCUCAGGUCAAAACACAAGUAGUCAAGAGAUUUGUCCAUCUAAUUCAUCAUACUACUCUGAUCCAAGUGAGACCCACACUGGGUCAGCUCCAUCAAGGAGAAGAACAUUCCACCCACGUUUGGAUUCUGGAAUAUCAUCCUUGCUUCCAUCAGAUUCUUGUAAGUACCUCACUUGGCACAAGGUAGACAUGACGUUCAAGGAAGUCAACUGCGUUGCCCAAGAGUAAGAGAAGGAAUCUCUGAAGAAGAGCAACUUUUCAGACAGGUAGAGUGUGCCUUGCUCCCAAGGAAAAGAGUUCUUGAAAAAAACAAAUGGGAAACAUGGCUACAAGAAAACUGGGAAGACUGCAAGAAAAUCUCAGAAUCUGCUUGAGAAUCCGGUCCUUCUUCCUCCAUACACCCAUGGAACACUCCCAAACUCUGUAUGCUGCUCACUAAUUCUGAUUAAGGUCUUCACCCUCCCUACCUUGGAAAUUGCUACAACAUAAUUGUGUUUAAUUUGAACAUUUCAUUUCAGGGUUUGGGGGAUCCUUACCAAGUUGAAAAUUUUAACAGAAUUCUUAGAAGACUAAUUCGAGUUGAAACCCUCUGGUUAGUGGAUAAUUCACUGGUGGACUUAAGUGCCAUAAGAUUGCCAAGGGAUUGCUAGAGAACCCCUUUUACAGGGAGCUGCUAUUUGCUUCAGCAGGCAGAAUGCGUAGGUGGAGUGAGCUUUGGUGGCAAUGAGAGGGGCCAACAGAGGUCCUCAGGAGUGAAUUAGAUGAAGGAAAUUGAGCAUCCACAAAAAGGAAAGUUACCAAGGAUACCUCAGAUACAGCAUUUAUCCUUGGCCGAAAACCACAUUGAGACUCUUACUGGAUUCUCCAGUUUACGGUGCACUCCACUGGAAUCCCUUAUUCUCAAGAGGAACCCUUAGUAUUCUCCUGUUUGCCAAACUUAAAAAUGCUGGAUGGAAUCUUGAAGCUACCAGAAGAUUGCUUAUCACCAGAAACCAAUAUUUUUUCAAAAAUAUGCCUUGUAUCCUAAUGCAGUCUGUAUAGAAAGAAAGCAAUCAUCAUUGUUGCUAAAAGCUAAUAAACACAGGACAUGCAUGAUUAAA